CCAGACUCCUACGGGAGGCAGCAGUGGGGAAUAUUGCACAAUGGGGGAAACCCUGAUGCAGCGACGCCGCGUGAAGGACGAAGUAUUUCGGUACGUAAACUUCUAUCAGCAGGGAAGAAAAUGACGGUACCUGACCAAGAAGCCCCGGCUAACUACGUGCCAGCAGCCGCGGUAAUACGUAGGAGGCAAGCGUUAUCCGGAAUGACUGGGCGUAAAGGGUGCGUAGGUGGUUCAGCAAGUUAGUAGCGUAACUCCGGAGCUCAACUUCGGCACUACUACUAAAACUGUUGGACUUGAGUGCAGGAGGGGCAACUGGAAUUCCUAGUGUAGCGGUGGAAUGCGUAGAUAUUAGGAAGAACACCGGUGGCGAAGGCGAGUUGCUGGACUGUAACUGACACUGAGGCACGAAAGCGUGGGGAGCAAACAGGAUUAGAUACCCUGGUA
rnacentral:rRNA from 1 species